GGUGUUUGGAAUGAGGUUUGAUCCAAGAUCAUCACAUCAUAUCAUUUGUUUCUUCUUCCCUCAUUUCAUUACUUUAUAAAAGAUUAAUUAUUUAUUUAUUUUCAUAUACAUGUGUAUAUAAUAUAUAUUAUCUAAUUCCAUGCAUGAGAUGAGUUGAGAUUGAUCUCGGACCAGGCUUCAUUCCUCACACC
rnacentral:pre_miRNA from 1 species